rnacentral:rRNA from 1 species
AGUUUGAUUAUGGCUCAGAUUGAACGCUGGCGGGAUGCUUUACAUGCAAGUCGAACGGCAGCACGGACUUCGGUCUGGUGGCGAGUGGCGAACGGGUGAGUAAUGUAUCGGAACGUGCCUAGUAGCGGGGGAUAACUACGCGAAAGCGUAGCUAAUACCUAUACGCCAGCGCCUCGGGGAAAGCGGGGGACCUUCGGGCCUCGCCGCUAUGAAACGGCCGAUAUCGGAUUAGCUAGUUGGUGGGGUAACGGCUCACCAAGGCGACGAUCCGUAGCUGGUUUGAGAGGACGACCAGCCACACUGGGACUGAGACACGGCCCAGACUCCUACGGGAGGCAGCGGUAGAAAUUUUGGACAAUGGGGAAACCCUGAUCCGAGCCAUCCCGCGUGUGCGAUGAAGGCCUUCCGGGUUGUAAAGCACUUUUGGCAGGAAAGAAACGGCACGGGAUAAUACCCCGUGCAACUGACAGUACCUGCUGCAGAAUAAGCGCCAGUAACUACGUGCCAGCAGCCGCGGUAAUACGUAGGGUGCAAGCGUUAAUCGGAAUUACUGGGCGUAAAGCGUGCGCAGGCGGUUCGGAAAGAAGAUGUGAAAUCCCAGAGCUUAACUUUGGAACACCAUUUUUAACUACCGAGCUAGAGUGUGUCAGAAAAUUGGAAUUCCGCGAUAACCCAGUGAAAUGCGUAGAUAUGGGAGAACACCGAUGGCGAAGGCAGCCUCCUGGGAUAACACUGACGCUCAUGCACAGCGUGGGAGCCGACAGGAUUGGAUACCCUGGUAGUCCACGCCUAAACGAUGUCAACUAGCUGUUGGGCCUUCGGGCCUUGGUAGCGCAGCUAACGCGUGAAGUUGACCGCCUGGGAAUUACGGUCGCAAGAUUAAAACUCAAAGGAAUUGACGGGGACCCGCACAAGCGGUGGAUGAUGUGGAUUAUUCGAUGCAACGCGAAAAACCUUACCUACCCUUGACAUGUCUGGAAUCCCGAAGAGAUUUGGGAGUGCUCGCAAGAGAACCGGAACACAGGUGCUGCAUGGCUGUCGUCAGCUCGUGUCGUGAGAUGUUGGGUUAAGUCCCGCAACGAGCGCAACCCUUGUCAUUAGUUGCUACGAAAGGGCACUCUAAUGCUGAGACUGCCGGUGACAAACCGGAGGAAGGUGGGGAUGACGUCAAGUCUCUUGGCCCAUAUAGGGUAGGGCUUCACACGUCAUACAAUGGUCGGGACAGAGGGUCGCCAACCCCGCGAGGGAGCCAAUCCCAGAAACCCGAUCGUAGUCCGGAUCGCAGUCUGCAGCAUCGACUGCGUGAAGUCGAAUGCGCUAAUAAUCGCGGAUCAGCAUGUCGCGGUGAAUACGUUCCCGGGUCUUGUACACACCGCCCGUCACCAUGGGGUGGGUUUACCAAGUAGUUAGCCUAACCGUAAGGAGGCGAUUCACCCCGGUAGGAUUCAUGACUGGGGGUGAAGUCGUAACAAGGUAG